UACGUAGGUGACAAGCGUUGUCCGGAUUUACUGGGCGUAAAGAGCGCGCAGGCGGUCGUUCAAGUCGAGUGUGAAAGCCCCCGGCUCAACUGGGGAGGGUCACUCGAUACUGAUCGACUCGAAGGCAGGAGAGGGUAGUGGAAUUCCCGGUGUAGUGGUGAAAUGCGUAGAUAUCGGGAGGAACACCAGUGGCGAAGGCGACUACCUGGCCUGUUCUGACGCUGAGGCGCGAAAGCUAGGGGAGCAAACGGG
rnacentral:rRNA from 1 species